rnacentral:misc_RNA from 1 species
GAAAUGCGAUAAGUAAUGUGAAUUGCAGAAUUCAGUGAAUCAUCGAAUCUUUGAACGCACAUUGCGCCCGCCAGUAUUCUGGCGGGCAUGCCUGUUCGAGCGUCAUUACAACCCUCAGGCCCCCGGGCCUGGCGUUGGGGAUCGGCGGAAGCCCCCUGCGGGCACAACGCCGUCCCCCAAAUACAGUGGCGGUCCCGCCGCAGCUUCCAUUGCGUAGUAGCUAACACCUCGCAACUGGAGAGCGGCGCGGCCACGCCGUAAAACACCCAACUUCUGAAUGUUGACCUCAAAUCAGGUAGGAAUACCCGCUGAACUUAAGC